UUUUCUUUCCGAUGUAAAAAUAGGGAAAAAGGUGGGAUUAUUGACGGCCGUAGUAGAUAAAGGUGAUGAAGGGGACUUAAAGUUUAUAGGAGGAGGUUGAGGACCACCGGAAAUUGCCAUUUUCCGGCGGUCUAUAGGCAAUAUCGCUAAGAAAAGUUGAUGGGAGAGGGUGCAACUAUGAGGAGCGUUUGGGGAAGAGACGUUCUAGGGAAGAGGCGAGGUCUUGGAAAGGAGAAAAGGACGCGUUCUUUUCUUGAAGAAGAUGGUGCACCAAAAAAAAAGAGUGCAUGGGUCGGUGGGGGUGUACUAUCUUUGAAAAGUCUUGAUUUAAUUUUGGCCGUCUGAUCAAGUGAUCGGACGGUUAAUAAUAUAAAGGUCUUUUUAAAAAAUAAAUAAUUAUAUAUAUAUAUAUUAAUAAUAAUAGUAAAAGGAUGAAUUAAUUAGAGCCGUUAGAUUAGAUUGUAAGGCCGAGAUUGAAUCUAAAGAAACACAAUCCAUGUGCUCGCCUACGUGGCAUACACAAAUUGGUUGAUUUAAGGGGACUUGGAUUGCCAAAAUUGCUCAAAUUAAAUUAAUUUAAAUUAUAACUACUUCUUGAUUAAAUAGUCAUAAUUUAUUAAAUUAAAAAUAAUUAUUUUGCAAGACUAGCUUAUUUUUAAAAUUAGUCACUCUUAAAAAUUAAAUUAAUAUAAAUUAGUAACUCAUUAAUUAAAUAAGCUUUCUAAUUUUAAUAAAUGUACGAAAAAUAUCUAUUGCGACAACAGAAAUUAUAUUUGAGCACAAAUAGAUUCAAUUCUUAAGAACAACAUUUAUUUUAUUUUGUUUUAAAAAAAAUUAAUUAAAAAAAUGAGAAAUUAAGUAGUAAUAUAUAUAUAUAUAUAUAUAUAUAAAUAUAAUAUUUAAUUUUUAUAAGAAAUAACAUUUAUGAAAAUAAAUUUAUCAAGUAAAUUAAAUAAUUAAAAAUCUCUUCGUAUUCCUUGAAAAAUUCAUAACAGAAUAUAUUAUUUUAUUAUUAUUAAUUUAGUUAAAUGUGGGGAGCCAAAAUUGAGUGUCAACAGCUUGCCCCUUUCUUUGUCCAUGGAAGAGAGUGAGGAAGACGUGGACAAAGAAAUAUUGACACAAUCCAAUUUUAGGCGACCAACCAAAACACAUUUUGAACAAUAACUUGGCAAGAAUGUUUAUGGAAUUAUGGCCGAACUUUGACUUUCGAGCUGCCUACAUAUCUCAGGUUUCAUGAGAAAUCAGGCCACAUGUAGUUCGAGAACAUAGCAAAUUUUUAGCAAAUUUUUAUUAAAACUUUGCCCCAGUAUCGAAUUAUGAUAAUACUGAAAUCUUUUGAUGGUAAGGUAUGAAGAUAUUAGCAUGAAUAGAGGGAUGAAAUAUAGUUCUAAAUAAACUUGAAUGAGAAAUGCUCUGUAGCAACUUCUAAAGACUUAUGGUAGAGAGAUGAAUUUUCAAAAAGACCGCCCCAGUGUCGAGUUAUAAUGAACAGAGACAUGAGAGAGUUAUAUGUAAGAUUUAAAUUUGAACUUUUGAAAAUCGAGUUGAGUUUUGAAAGUGAAUCCUUGACGUAGCUAGUGAUGCUUGACAUUGCACUAACUUGCCCUAGUUUGCUGCUUAGAGGGAGUUCCUCGUUGUAAUGCAUUGUCCUGCAAAACAUGUAAAAGGGUGAAAAGUACCUGUUGCGGUUCAAAAAUUAUAAAUUGAAAUAGUAAUGUAAAGAGUAGAGUAUAGAUGUUCAAACGACUGUUGAUGUCUCUUUUUGUGUUGUGAGUCUGAUGUAGGUAAAAUAACUUGUAAUGUAGAAGCCCUCGAUUGGCGGGGUUGUUGUAAUGUAAAAGCAUGUAUCCGAUUGUGUAAAGCUUGUAAGGUAAAGCCUCCGGCUGGCGGGGCUGUUGUAAUGUAAAAGCAUGUAUNNNNNNNNNNNNNNNNNNNNNNNNNNNNNNNNNNNNNNNNNNNNNNNNNNNNNNNNNNNNNNNNNNNNAUCUGGCUGUGUAAAGCUUGUAAUGUAAAGCCUCCGUAUGGCGGGUCUGUUGUAAUGUAAAAGCAUGUAUCCGGUUGUGUAAAAACUGUAACAUAAAUUUAAUUGUCGUCGUGUGAUAGCGUUUCUAUGCUUGCUUGCCCCCGAUCGAUGGAGCUUCAGUGACGUCACUACGAUGUGGUCUCCGACUGGCGGAGUGUUGCUUCUUUUGCUUAUAUACAUGCUCUGAUUGGCGGAGUUCGAUCGAUGUUUAUUAUGUACAGCCUCCGAUUGGCGGAGUUUGACGAUGUUUGCUAUGUACAACCUCCGGGUGGCGGAGUUUGACGAUGUUUGUUAUGUACAGCGUCCAAGUGGCGGAGUUUAACAACGUUUGUUGUGUACAACCUCCGGUUGGCGGAGUUUGACAAUGUUUUGCUACAAGCUCCAGUUAGUGGAUUUAUUUUGAUAGAAAUUUAAACAUCCUAUUUUCCUACGAGGGCCCUCUUUUCUUCAGUAUUUGAUCUAGAUCUUGAGCGUACCUGCGAAGAUUUAAACAAAAUAUAUUUUAGUCAUAAGAUGCAAGUUGAGGUAUUUUCGGGAAAUGAAGUAGAGAAAGAGUAAUUUGGCUCAUGAUUGUGAGAAAUCGAAUAGCGUUUCCGAUCAUGCCCCGAGACUUGAUGUUAUUUUCUUGAUUCUUGUGUUCCUGCACUCAAAGAAAAUUUUAGUUUGGGAGGGGGUGUUGGUUUGCAUCGACUUGCGGACUGAAGCCUCGUCACUAGAAUCCUUCGACACCUCGUCGGUACCGCACAUAGUUUCUUAACCUAGAGACUUGGUAGGUGGAUGAGUGGAAAAAAAUAUUUUGAAAAGAAUUAGCUUGUUUUUCUAGAAAAUAAGUAUACUACGUAUAUAUAGUAAUUCUCCAGCGUUUUAGAUUAUGACAUAUUCCAAAGUCCAUCGAGCUUUCCAUUUUGUUGACUAUAUCCAACGUAGGCCUCUUGCAGCUUUUACCUUUCUGAUGAAGCUUUCCUAGCUCCUUUGCAAACAUUGCGACAAUCAAUAUUCUUCAACAUUCUGAGGUUACGCUAACUAUGAGAAAGUGUUUCCUAAGGGUAAGAAAAGAAGAAAAAAAUAAAAAUAAAAUAUGCAAUGCAUCAAUCGAGCCUGACUCAGGCUGCCUACGUAUCCCCAAUGUAGGAAUCAGAUCGUGACGUAGUUCAAAUACAAGUGGGAGAAAUAGAAGUAUGUAAUACAAUGAUCGAGCUUGACUCAAGCUGCCUACGUGUCCAAGUGGAAUCAGGUCAUAACGUAGUUCAAAUACAAGAGGAAAGUAAAAAAUAUGAAAUGCAAUGACCGGGCCUGACUCAGGCUGCCUCCGUAUACAAGAGGAAUCAGGUCAGGACGUAGUUCAAAUAUAAUGGGAAAGAGUGAAAAAUACAAAGGGACCGAAUCCGACAAGGAUUGCCUACGUAUCCCACCGAGGGAAUUCAGGUCGAGCAUAGUUCUAAAUACAUGGAAAUGAUGAUUUUGGGUUUUCUAAGAGAGACCGGAUCCGAUGUGGGUUGCCUACGUACUCCACUGUGGGAAGUCAGGUCUAGAUGUAGUUCUGUUACACUGAAAAUGCAAAAUAUAAAAAAUAAGUGCUAAUCUUGAGGUCUUCAGAUGUAUUAUUUUUUUAUGGCGUCUGAAUUGAUUGGCUUCGGGCUUACUCUGCCGUCCAUUUCUGCUAAGAUUACCGCUCCUCCCGAGAGUACUCUAUGAACCUUGUAGGGUCCUUGCCAAUUUGGUGCAAAUUUCCCUUUGGCUUCUCCUUGGUGAGGAAAGAUAUUCUUCAAUACUAACUGUCCCGGUGUGAACAGUCGAGGUUUGACUUUCUUGUUGAAUGCUUUGGUCAUUCUGUUCUGGUAGAGUUGGCCAUGACAAACAGCGUCCAUCCUCUUUUCAUCGAUGAGCAUCAAUUUCUCAUGCCUGCUACGUAUCCAUUCUGCAUCGUCCAGACCAACAUCUUGGAUAAUCCUUAAAGAUGGUAUUUCCACCUCAGCAGGUAUUACUGCUUCUGAGCCAUAAACCAACAUAUAAGGAGUUGCCCCAAAUGAUGUUCUGAUUGUGGUGCGAUAACCAAGUAAAUCAUAUGGUAGCUUCUCAUGCCAUUGCCUGUGACUGUCCACUAUUUUCCUUAAGAUCUUCUUGAUAUUUUUAUUUGCAGCCUCAACUGCUCCAUUCAUCUGUGGCCGAUAAACCGUGGAAUUUCGAUGAGCAAUCUUGAACCUUUCACAAGUUUCCUUCAUAAGAUCGCUAUUGAGGUUGGCUGCAUUGUCUGUUAUGAUUGAUUCUGGAAUUCCAAACCAACAAACUAUGUUAUUGCGAACAAAGUUUGCCACUACCUUCUUAGUCACUGCCUUGUAAGUCGAGGCUUCGACCCAUUUUGUGAAAUAAUCGAUAGCCACUACAAUGAAACGAUGCCCAUUUGAUGCGGGAGGCUUUAUGGGUCUGAAAACGUCCAUGCCCCAAGUAGUAAAUGGCCAAGGGGAACCCAUCACAUUUAGCUCAUUUGGUGGAACCCUUAUAAAAUCUCCAUGCACUUGACACUAAUGAUACUUUUGAACAUACCAGAUGCUAUCUCUCUCCAUGGUCAUCCAAAAAUAUCCAGCUCUUAAAAUCUUCUUUGCCAAAGUGAACCCAUUCAUGUGAGGUCCACAUGUUCCUACAUGUAUUUCUUCCAAAAGCCUUGUCGCUUCUGCGGCGUCGACGCAGCUCAGCAAUCCUAAAUCCAAAGUUCUCCUAUAUAGGAUUUCUUCGUUAAGGAAGAAAUGAUUGGCCAUCCUUCUCAAAGUCCGUUUCUGGUUGCAUGUGGCAUUUUCAGGAUAUUCUUGUACUUCUAUCAGUCUUCUGAUGUCAUAGUACCAGGGUUUUCCAUCCAAUUCCUCAUCUACAUGAAAAUAGUAUGCAUGUUGAUCAUGUAUCUCUAUAUCGAUAGGGUCGAUGUAAUUCUUGUUUGGAUGUUGAAUCAUCGAAGACAAUGCUGCCAAAGCAUCGACAAACUUAUUUUGAGCUCAAGGGACGUGCUUGAACUCAAUCCUUGUGAAUCUCCUGCUCAACUCUUUUAUGUAAUGCAAAUAAGGAAGGAUCUUGGCAUUCUUAGUGGUCCAUUCUCCUUGCACCUGGUGAUUGAAUAGGUCGGAAUCUCCUAUCACCAAGAGUUUUGUUAUGUUCAUGUCGAUGGCCAUCCCGAGUCCAAGAAUACAAGCUUUAUAUUCCGCCAUGUUGUUGGUACAAUAAAACCUGAUCUUGGCUGAGAUCGGGUAAUACUGACCUGUUUCCGAAAUUAAGAUUGCUCCUAUUCCAACUCCAAUAGAGUUUGAUGCUCCAUCAAAUAACAUCCUCCAUCCAUCAUACGGCUGUGAUAUGUCUUUUCCUACAAACAAAACCUCUUCAUCAGGGAAGUAGGUUGUGAGCGGUUGUAAUCCUGGUCCAGCGGGUUUUCUGCGAGGUGAUCUACCAGGGCUUGUCCUUUGAUGGCUUUUUGUGUUACGUACACGAUAUCAAACUCACUAAACAAAAUUUUCCACUUUACCAGCUUACCUGUAGGCAUUGGUUUCUGAAAGAUGUACUUGAGUGGAUCCAUUCUUGAGAUCAAGUACGUGGUGCAUGCAGACAGGUAAUGCCUAAAUUUUUGCGCAAUCCAAGUCAAAACGCAACAUGUUCGUUCCAAGAAGCUGUAUCUUGCCUCGUACGGUGUGAACUUCUUGCUCAGAUAGCAAAUGGCUUGCUCUCUUCUACUUGUCUCAUCAUGCUGCCCCACUACACAUCCAAAUACAUUAUCCAUGAUAGAUAGAUACAAUAACAAAGGCUUUCCAGGCUCUGGUGGGACCAAUACUGGUGGGUUGGACAAGUAUUCUUUGAUUCUAUCGAAAGCUCUUUGGCAUUCCUCUGUCCAUUGUGUGGCAGGAUCCUUCUUCAGUAACUUGAAUAUGGAUUCGCAGAUCACUGUGGAUUGAGCUAUGAACUGACUGAUGUAAUUUAGUCUUCCUAAGAAACUCAUCACGUCUUUCCUGGUCUUGGGUGGAGGUAGCUCUUGGAUUGCCUUUAUCUUUGAUGGAUCCAACUCUACGCCUUUCCUGCUAACGAUGAAUCCCAAUAGUUUUCUCGCGGGUUCUCCAAAUGCACACUUUGCUGGAUUCAACUUCAGAUUAUACUUACGCAACCUCUCGAAGAACUUUCGUAAGUCAUCCAGGUGGUCUGAACUUCUUUUGGAUUUGAUAACGACAUCAUCCAUGUACACUUCAAUUUCCUUGUGGAUCAUAUCGUGAAAAAGGGUAGUCAUAGCCCUCAUGUAGGUUGCACCAGCAUUUUUGAGACCAAAUGGCAGUACUUUGUAGCAAUAUACUCCCCAUGGAGUGAUAAAUGUUGUCUUCUCUGCAUCAUUUUCAUCCAUUAGGAUUUAGUGAUAUCCUGCAAAGCAAUUGCCAAAUGAUUGCAACUCAUGUUUUGCACAAUUAUCGAUGAGUAUAUGAAUAUUUGGAAGAGGGAAAGCAUCCUUAGGACUAGCCCUGUUGAGAUCUCGAUAGGCCACACAUAUUCUGAUCUUUCCAUCCUUUUUGGCACAGGCACAUUAUUGGCUAACCAUGUGGGGUAGUUUGUUACCCUUACAAUGUUCGCCUCAAUUUGCUUAGUUACCUCCUUGAUCCUUAAGCUCAAAUCUGGCUUGAAUUUUCUUGUCUUUUGCUUAACAGGUAGACAAGUGGGAUCAGUCGGUAAUUUGUGUGAGACAAUAUCAGUGCUUAAUCCUGGCAUGUCAUCAUAAGACCAAGCAAAUACGUCAACAUACUGCUUAAGAAAUUCUAUCAACUCUUUCUUUCUUUCAGCCUCCAAAUGUAUGCUGACUCAUGUCUCUCUCACGAUUUCCUCAUCUCCUAAGUUGAAAACCUCUGUUUCAUCCAUAUUGGGUUUCUUCUGACUUGCAACUUGCUAGAUCUCGUGUGGUAGGUUUUCCAACACCAUGCUUUCAUCAUACUCUUCAUGAUCUUAUUCAUCGCUUUCCCCUUGCUCGGUGGAUUUUUUACAUGUCAUAACCGUUGAACAAGGAUUUUUAUUAAUAUGAGUGCCGAAAAUUGCAAAAGGUAAGUAAAAAUAAAUAGAUAUUUAAAAUAACGAGGAAUUUUUUUAAGAAAAUAAAGACUUUUAUUUCAAAGCAUUCUAGCUUUUAAAAGAGGCAAGCAACAAAAGAUUGGGCAUGAUUCAAGCCUCAAUUUGAUCAUGCGAAUUUUUAAAAUUAAGACUACUUUUCCACACUACCAGGCCACUAUUUGAAAUAGGGACAGGCUGGUCGUCCAAUUCUGCAAGAUUUCUCCAGGUUUGACAUCACGAAUAGUCAACUUGUUGAGAUUUAUCCCUUCCUCUUCUCCAGCCAUGGCCACAGACAGAUUGCCUAAUCCUUCUACGAUGUCAUCAACGCCAGCCCACUAUUUGAAAUAGGGACAGGCUGGUCGUCCAAUUCUGCAAGAUUUCUCCAGGUUUGACAUCACGAAUAGUCAACUUGUUGAGAUUUAUCCCUUCCUCUUCUCCAGCCAUGGCCACAGACAGAUUGCCUAAUCCUUCUACGAUGUCAUCAACGCCAGCUUGAUCUGGAAUCAAAGCUUGUUCUGGUACAAAGAUUGCAUCGCUUGACCCGUGACAGUCUCUUCCCGAGGAAGGCUCAUAUCCUAGUCCGUUGGUGCCUCUAUGAUGCUUCAGCUGGAUCGGCUCAACUAUGCCAUUGGACUUAGGUCCAAGUCCAUUCUUAGGCUGAUAUCCAUACUUCUACAUUUCUUACGCAACCAUUUUCGCUACACUUGACAACUUGGUAUCUUCGGGCUCUGCUCCCUCAUUGACCCUUAUAGCUUGCAUGAUUUCCAAAGUGUGAAAAGUGGCUCCGUCUAAGUCGUCGACGACUGGGAUAGAAUUAACAAAAUGAAUGGGGUGACUGAGUUCUCCGUGGACGGUAACUUCUGUGUGACCCCACUCAAACUUUACACAUUGAUGAAGAGUGGAAGGAACCGCUCUUGCCAUAUGAACCCAUGGUCUUCCCAACAACAGGUUGUAGUUGGAUGAUACAUCCAUCACUUGAAAUAGAAUGGGGAAUUCAACCGGCCCCACUUGUAAUGUGAGAUAGAUCUCUCCGAUGACACUUCAUUGCGCUCCAUCAAAAGCUCUAACUUUUACACGACUUUCCCUUAUCUCUCCCAUAUUAGCGCCUAAAUCUCUCAAAGUGGUGAAAGGACAAAUGUUGCAUCUAGAACCACCAUCAAUUAAAACUCGAGUCCCAAUUUUAUCACAACAUUUGAUUGCGAUGUGAAGCGCUUUGUUGUGACCAUCCCCUUCUGCAGGCAACUCAUCAUCGUGGAAAGAAAUCUUGUAAGCUUCCACUAUUCUUCCAAUCAUUGCAGCUAAGGUCUCACUUGUGGUCUCUUUUGGAAUUAUCACUCCGCUUAACACCUCCAUCAAAGCAUUCAUAUGAGCUUCAGAACUCAUAAGCAAAUACCAAAUAGAUAUGUGGGUCGGCGUCGUCUUCAGCUGUUCUUCAACCGAGUAGUCUUUAGACUGCAUCUUCUUCCAAAACUUUGUGGCUUCAGCAUCGGUAACAUUCUUCUUUGGAUUCUGUUCUUUUCCGAGAACUCUUUGAUUUAGAUCCUCUGGGUAUAAGAUCUCCCCGACCUAGUCAUCCCUUGAGCCACGACAGUGUCGAUCAUCUUGCCCUUGGCACUUGCUCGAUAGUUCCAAGGGACUGCUUUGGUGACAUACUCAGGCUUCUUAGCAAUUAGAGUGGUCACUACAACUCUUGGGGGAUAUGUUUGGACAGUCAGAGGUUCCCUUAGUUGAACAGUAAUAACAAGUUGCGCCGAAGGUGUCAUGGCAUCCGCUUCAUCUAUGUUUGGAUAGUCUGGGAUCCCAUAUUCGUCCUCUAAAGUAACCAUGUUGACGUCCCGAUUCUCAUGGUUUGGCAAAGGGUUGUUAUUCACAUUGGGAGGCACUGGUGUGCAUUUGAUUACUCCUCUUCUGAUCAAAGACUCGAUCUGGUUCUUCAAACCAUAACAAUCUUCUGUGUCGUGUCCUUGGACUCUUGAGUGGUAAGCACAUCGCUUGUUCCCAUCAAAAUUUGAGAGAUUGGAUCAGGAAGUUUUCCUUCAACUGGUUGCAGCACUCCCGCUGUCCUUAACCUCUCAAACAAUUGAGCAUAGGGUUCAGCAAUCGGUGUGUAGGCGCGAGCAUUUCUAGCUUCAGGAUUUGGACGUGGUCUUGGUGCAUAUGCUGGUCUAUUUUGGUGGAUUGGUUCUUGGACAUGGACAUAUGGUCUUGGAGGAUUUUGGUAUGCUGGUGCUCGGGGUGGAUUAUAGUGUGGUUGGGUAUUAUACACUGGCACAUAUGAAGUUUGCGCAGCGAUUUGGGGAUUAUUGGGGUAUCGGUGGGAUGGUCCUCCUUGUUGGUAAGUGACAGCCGAAACAUCCUCCUCUUUCUUUUUGAUGCCGCCAAUGGAACCCGAUUGUAUAGCCCUACUUGCAGCUUGCAAUGCAACCAUAGACUGAAUCUUCCCAGAUAUAACACCCUCCUCUAUAAAGUCUCCCAUCUUGACCAAUUCUGCAAACUUCUGACCCAUCAUUGACAUCAUCUUGUCAAAGUAGAUACCUUCUUGAGCUCGAAUAAAGUACUUCGAGAGCUCAUUCUCAUAAAGUGGUGGUUGCACCCUUGCGGCCUCAGUUCUUCAACGUCGUGCAUAUUCCUGGAAAUUUUCAGAUGGCUUCUUCUGUAUAUUGGCCAAUGAGAAUCUGUCAGCAGUAAUUUCUGUAUUGAAUCUGAAACGAGUCAUGAAGUCCUCUGCCAUUUCUUGCUAGUCACGCCAUUUGCGAGGGUCUUGGCGGGUAUACCAGGUUAAUGUUUCUCUAGACAGACUCUGAAUGAACAACUUCAUCCUCAACUUCUCAUUUCUCCCUACACCGACAAUUUGUCACAGUAUGCCCUUAAAUGGGCGUGAGGGUCACCUUUUCCAUCGAACAUGUCAAACUUCGGUGGUUUGUACCCUACCGGCAUGUCAAUGUCUGGAUGGAUGCACAAGUUAUCAUAUUCCAGACUCUCUGUCCCUCUAGUGACUUGUAAGCUUUUCAAUGCUUUUCUCAGACCCUGAAGCUGGGCAUUUAUCGAUGUCUUUUCUUUCAAUCAAGCAUCUUUCUCCAUUUCUUCAUAUUGAUCGACCUCGUAUAGGACAUUAACCAUAGCUGGCAUAGUGAAGGUAGGAGCCCCAACGACAUAUACGGGUGGAACAUGUGGCUUAUAGGGAGCGGCGACAUGUGCCCCAAGUAUUUGCUGCAUUGUAGGUAUGGUAGGGCCGCGAUUAGAAAGGUCAGGAAUGGUCCUGACUGCGGUUGGAGAAGUUAGUGGAACUCGACCGUGAGUAAGAGCGUGUUGAGUCAGUUCUGGCUAAUUUGGUAAGUUGGCAGAAGGCCAGUCAGCCUUUGGGAAGUAGAUAAGUGUCUUGAAAGUAGGGAAAGUGGUCGCCGUUAGUUUGGCCAAGUCUCGCACUUGACGCAAUUCUUCCCUCAAGAUCUUGAGUUCUUGUUCCAUGUGAGCCAUUAUCUCUUCAUUUUGAAUGUCAACUAUACUUCGAGAACUUUCGGGAUUCUCAAUAGUUACUCUUAUGUUUGUGGCAGCGUUGAACUCAUCUUUAUCACUCAUUUUUCCCUUUGAUCGAAUGUUGUAUCGUGAGUCAGCCAGUUUACAAGUCGACACAAAUCAACGUACUUUUGGGGGUAAAUAAAGAAAGGAAAACAAAUAAAAAGAAAAUUAUGUUAGUUUGGGAAAUAUUGAAAGCUGUAACAAAUAAGUAGAUGUAACACAUAUAUACGCCAAUUCGGCGACAUUCAAAGCGCGUCCUAAUAUAGAACCUCUUUUUGCUUGAGGUAGGCCUACGUUGCAAUUAGUUUGAUAAUAAAUGAUCCAUUUAAACACAUUUUAGAUUUGGAGCAAACAUAACUUCAUUGAUUACAUAGUUUGGCUAUUACAACGAUGUAGGUGGUCGGGAGCCUAAGAAAUGAAAGUACAAGGGCGGCCAUAAGGCAUACAAGAGGGAUAGGCCACAUGGCACUUUAAAGAGCUUAUGAGGGAAUUCAAAGAAGACAGAUGCUCUACGUCUAGGUUGGAGCAUCAUCAUCAUCAUCGUCCAUAUCAUAGUAAGGACCCGGGUGAUACUCUGGAGAAUUUUCAGGGCCAUGCUCGAUUGAUAUGUCUAUAACCCCUCCAUCUCUUGGCUCAUAGACGUUAGAACACAUCUCAGAAACCUCCAUGUGAUCUUCCCAAACUUAUUCUUCUGGGUUCUCUUUGAGGUCCUCUUCUGGGUAUUCUUCAGGAUCCUCUUCUGGGUCUUCUUCUAGGUCCUCUUCAGGAUCUUCUUCUGGGUCCUCUUCAAGAUCCUCUUCGAGGUCUUCUUCCUGGAUUAAGUAAUCGACGGAUCUCGGAACUAUCUGAUUGUACAUGGGUGUAGUGAACCCUAUGCGAAGAAGCACCGAUUCUCUGAUCCAAUCAAUUUGUUGUCUGUCUACAAACCCUCAAUGUCCGUGUGCGCUUGGACGAGCCAUAUGACUCAUGGUAUUCCGCCAAGCGUAAUACUCUGGCGUACACCAGCUUUCUUCUCCUAUUUCUAAAAUCGAUUAUGGAUUCCCACUCGGUUUGCAUAUUUCUUAUCCGUUCCAGCGAGACUGAAGUGAAUGUAUCUUCAUGUGAUCCCAUUAUUGACCAUAGAGGAAUGCCUUGGAUAACUCCAAACUGCCGCAUAACCCAAAGAGGUGCAUAUGGUUGGAUGCCUCUGAGCCUAAUUAACUCGAUAAAGAAAAAUAUCGAGUCCUUGCAAAUGCCAAUCCUGUUACCCAAGAGAACUUCCAUUGGAUGGCGUCUCCCGUGAGGUUGUUCAAAAUGUGCGCCAUUCUUCCCUUCCUGUUGGUGCACCCAUCCAAUUUUGGAGACGGUAUUCGUGGCUUUCGAUCUUGUUAGGAGCAACUAUGUAGUAAUCCAUUUGUUGAUCAAGUCGGUAGAAAUUUUUCCUUGCCCAAAUCUGUAGCAAUAUGUUGCAUCCUCCGAAGAAAUCGUGUCCCCUAAUGCAAACUGUCAUUGAACGAAGAACUUCGGCGAGAAUCAUAGGCACCAAAGUAAAUCUUUGUGGAUCGUUGAAGAUGCUUAUAACCAUCGGCAAUAUGUUGAUGUCGAUAGAAUUGGACCUUAUCGGGAACACCAUAACUCCUAAAAAAACCAUAAUGAAUACUCUUGGCCUCAUAUGCUCCCAUGCUCCUCGAGUAUAUUCAAAUUCACGCUGAUAUUCAUAGUAACUUUCCGAACGCCCAAACCUCUGGAAGAGAUAGUCUAACUCGACGUGUCCGCUGAUAUUCAUAUCUCAAUGACCGAAAUAUGUGUAGAUCCAAGAGACUUAGAAAGUCACCCGUACAGAUAGUUGAGGGGAUCACCGACAACCUCCCUUUAAUCGGUAGUUCGGUAAGACUAUUGAACUCCUCUAGUGUAGGAGUGAUCUCAAAAUCCAGGAAUUUGAAGGUUACGGUGCUCGGUUCCCAAAACCCCAUUAGCUGAGUGAUAGACUUUAUCGCAUUGUGUCCCCAGAAGCGACAAUAAUGCUCCUAAAUGCCCUUGAAUCUCUGCCCCGUGUAUCCUGCGGAUAUUUUGCCACCAAUUUUGUAGAAUGUGGGGCGCUGAAAACGACCAUUUUGGAUAUCUGGCAAGUCUUGGUUGUGGUUCAUCUGAAAAGAGGUAAAGGGUGUAAUGAGUUUAUUUGCACCAAAUAUGUUAAAUGUUUAAGUUUGGAUAAUUUAUAUCAAUUUCACACAAAGUUUAUGUCUCGAGUUUUAAAGAAGAAACUCAUUGACAUUUGGGUGGUUUCCUAAAUGCAAUGACAAUACCGUAUAUUGUCUUGCCUAAGGCUAUGCAACAUGACCUAUUUUAAAGAGUAAGAUUUUUUCCUAGAUGAUUGAGAGUGAGACUGAGUAAUUGCGAGAAGGUGCACUAUCUUAAUUACACCAACUCUGAAACUAAGGAAUCCAAAGAGAAUUUCGGAGGAGUGCCGGAACACCCCUCCCGUGUACAGUGUGUGCGUGUACGGCCAAGACUCGAUAGAAUGUGCAAAUGACAAUGUAGGGAAAGCAGUAACAAGUAGUGUUUUAAAACAAAUAAGGAACACAAACUUGGAUUUCACUUGCGACCUUUUGGUCAAAGCAAUAUAUCAAUAGCAAGCUGAAAAAUAAACACGUAAUCACAAAUGUUGUUCCUAAAUUGAGUUUUUCUAAGGUUAAAACCUAAGUAAGAUCCCCAGCAGAGUCGCCAAGUUGUCGCACCCUAUUUCGAACAAGCCGAAACAAUUCACAACAUAAUACGGCUGCCACUCUAUUUUUUUGGAAAAAAUUGUUUUGUUUAUUUUAGAGUUGCCACCUAAAUUUUAAGGAGAAUAUUAGGAAAACCAUUUUUUUGUAUGUAAUGUAAACUCUGUUUAGAUUUGAGAAACCAGUGAGAUUUUGAGUAAGGAUUUUGGUUACUCGAGGGGAAGGUGUUAGGCAUCCCUCAGAGCCUAUCUGAAGAUAGUCCUUAAACUCAAUUUAAGAAAAUAUGAUUUGGAAAACUUGUUUAUUUAUUUUGCUCUAAAAAUCAAUGAUAAGUUAAUUAGUUAGUUUAAAAGCAAUGCAAUACAAGGUACGACAUAUAUAUGUCUUGUAAAAUAGAUUUAAUAGUAGUAUUAUAAAAUAAAUAAAUAAAUAAAUGUACUUGAAUAUACGAUAUAUUCAUAUGUGAAAAUAUAUAUAUAGGUGUCAUAAUAAAAUUAUCUUUAAAAUAUAUAGAUGUUGAAUUUGUAAAAAUCUGUCAUCUUAUUAAGACGUGAAAAAUAAGAUAGUAGUUGAGCGUAAUUAUAUAGUAAUAUGUGAUGUGUAAUUUGAAUGAAAAUAUAUAGAAUGGAGUUUUCUAAAAUAAAAUAAAUGAUACUAGAUGUUAAAAUAUUAUACAAAGGUUGGUGAUCUUAAAUAUGUUUAUUAUAAAUUGCAGUAUAUACAUGUAAGUUGUGUAAAACAUGUAAAUGUUUAUUAUUUUAUUUACAUAUAAGGAUAAGUUAACAAUAUAUUAGAUUUAGUGAAGUAUUAUGUGUAGGCAUUUAUAGAUUAUAACAAUAAAUAAAUAACAUUAGUAAAAGAGAUAGUAGUUAAUAAUAGGUUAUGUAGAAAAAAUAUAGAAUAUAUACUUUUAUAUGUAUGACAUAUAUACGUAUGUACCUUGUAUUUGAACCUGUUGGCAUAUCUAAAAUUUUGAAAUGGCAUGUUAAAAGAUUAAAAUGUUUUUAGCAAUGUUUGAUCCAAACAAAAAGAAGGUAAGAAUAGUCAAUAUUCUUUAUAAAGAGGUGAUUUAAAGAGUAUAAAAAUAAAAUUUGAAAUAGCGUGUCACAAGAUUAAAAUAUUUUUAGCGAUGCUUGAUUCAAAAAAUAAGACUAGUCAAUACAUUUUAUAAGGGGUGAUGUAAAGAAUAUAAAAAUAGGCCUAACUAUUAGGGCUCAUUCUAUGGUCACAUAAAAAAAAAUGAUUCCACAAGUUAAUUAUUUUUAGCCUUUAUGUAUCUCUAAAUUCAUUUGGAAGUCCCAAUUCAUGAGUUUUAUUUUUCUACUUAAGUAUCUAAAUGAAUAUUAUUUCACCUUUUUGAAACUUCAUUUGGAAAUCUUUUAAAAAAAACUGUAAACCCCUCUUUCAACUUGAAAAGGAAUGAAAGAAUGUUAUAAGUGAAAAUGCUAACCCAUUUUUUAAGAAAAUAUCUUUUGUAUCAUUUGUUCUAAAGGUGUCUCAACUAAAUUCAUAAAACAAAUAAUAUUAGCUCACAUAAAUAAACUUCAAAAUAAAAGACAAACAAUAUAUCAAAACUUGUAAGUAAAGGUUAGCCAAUAUAUCCAAACAAUAUAAUUAAGACUCAAAAGAGGAAUCCUAAGAAAUAUUGGACUCCUAAUUUGCGAGACGUCAAGCGUUGCGAUGAUCCUAAUUGUUGUUGGCCUAAUAUUUUUAGGCCAAUAACGAGUUUCAAAUUAAAAACUCCAGCCCUCCGGUUGUACAUGAAACAUAACAAAGAAAAGGAGAUAAAGAUUAGUGAUCAAUUAAAUGGUACGAUAAUGUGAAUAUGCAAACAAAUAUGAAUACAUACAACAUAAUGAUAUCAAUUUUUUUGUAAACAAAUAUGAAUACAUACAAGACAAUGAUAUCAAUUUUUAUAAGACCAACAGUUUCAUAAAUCUUUGGGACGACUCGGCUGAAUCCUUUGGGGUGGAAAUGAGCCACAUGACAUUUAAACUGUCGAAUCAAAAUAAGUAAAGAAGGGGAAAGGGACAGAGAAACCAUUUGAAUUCAUUUUGACUAAUACAACAAGGUGUAGGCUUAAACAAUUUAAGUACGGUCAUAGUACUGGUUUUGUUUUACUAUUUACAUAUUUCCACCUUGGGAUGGAAAGUAGCCAGAAAACAAUAUGAGGCAAGUAUCUCUAAUUUAAUUCAUUCACGGUUUGAAAUUGCUUUGUUACACAUAUCAUAAAGCUUAAUAUACAAGUCCGUUAAAUUUAAAGAUAUAGGCAGCCAAAACAGAUUAUCCAAACGCUUAAGAUAACACGUUUAGAAUGGAAAAUCAUAGCAACACCGCAACAUAACUGCUGAAAAUGUUGAACCAAAUGACCACGAAUUUAGAAUAGAUAGGACAGUCAACUAAGAAAAUAAAAUAUUAGAACUACAACAGCAAACAAACGCCUUUCAUAAUCAAAAUAAACCAACACUUUUCGAAUUUAGAUUAGACUAUAUUGUGGUCGAGAAAGCAGCCAUCCAUAUACACAACUUCUAUAUCUUAUAAAAAUCAAAGCAACAACAAAAGAGAUAUAUAUAUAUAUAUAUAUGUUAACAAAAGAAACAGAAACUUCACUAUACAUAAAAGUAGGAGACAAGAAGAUUAACAACCCAUUUUAAUUGUGGAAUAUCAACAAAAAAGAAAACAAUCAAUUGGAAUCUGAAAUCUGAAAAAAAUAAAAAUAAAGGUGAGGUACAAUACCUCCUCGGGGGCAACAAACAAGAGCUUAGACGUCAAAGAUUCUAACUUCUAAAUUCCUCAAACUAGAAUUCAAAACCGAAAAUGAAAAGAUGAAAGAAGAUAGAAAUUUUUCUGAAAUCUAAUGCUUGAAGUGUGUUUUAUCCCUCUUUUUGUUUGUUCUCUCAUGAUUUUCUUUUUUGUUCCUGUCCCUUUUUUGAUGAUUUUCGGAUGGUUGUUCCCCAUUUUCUUUCUUUUCAAAUGAGGCAAAAUAUCUCUUAUAUAGGCGAAAUCCGGAUUUGAAACUCAAAAUUAUCAAAAUCCAUAGUGUUAAGCAAGGAACGAGUGAAAUCUUUGAAAAGAUCACCUUUUUCGGUUUCUCAGACUUGAAAUUUGUUCUUGGGUUUUCUUUCCGAUGUAAAAAUAGGGAAAAAGGUGGGAUUAUUGACGACCGUGGUAGAUAAAGGUGAUGAAGGGGACUUCAAGUUUAUAGGAGGAGGUUGAGGACCACCGGAAAUUGCCAUUUUCCGGCAGUCCAUAGGCAAUAUCGCUAAGAAAAGUUGAUGGGAGAGGGUGCAGCUAUGAGGAGCGUCUGGGGAAGAGACG
rnacentral:lncRNA from 1 species